AUAAAACGAAUUAUUCAAACGGAAUCCACCUACAAAGGGUUAUUCUCCAGCUGUAAAAAGGAACGGAGGACGUGUUCACAGGCGACCACGUGCACGAACCUGGCACCAGGCUGUGCGCAGGGAAGCCACGUGUUCUGCGAUUCCACGGACGCGACGCGACCGGAAGAGGCGGGGCCGUGGAGACAGGAAUUUCCCGGGAAAUUGUGGCAGCUGAAUUUGCAUGAUGUAGCUACAAAUGGAAUCUGCAAAAUGUGUGUGUUCAUGUGGUUUGGACGUGAGAAUAAUUCCUGUACCCGGUCAUGUCGGGAAGAGUCGAAAUAUUCACUUCCCGUCCCCCAGGGACCAGGCCAGCUCUCGGUAAGUGCUUUCUGGACAGAGCAUGUGGAAGGGCUGGCGGAUGGGUGGAGGGAUGUGGAAAGGAUGGGGGAGGGAUGGGGGAGGG
rnacentral:lncRNA from 1 species